rnacentral:lncRNA from 1 species
AGGCCAGGGCCAUGCUCUUCCAUCCAAGCCAGGGCUAGGCAGCUGUGUGUGUGUGUGCAGAGCUGUGAUGGAGAGAAGGGGCCUGCCUCUCCUCAAAAAGCAAAAUGUCCUUGCAGCUCCAGGCCAGAUGGAGAAUGAUGUGCAGCAGGGAGAGGUCAAGGGGCCUUCCUGGGGCUCUGCAACGCUGCAGGCGCUGGGGAUGCAGCCUCCACAACAGGCAGCCCUGCAGGCUGAGGGUGGCCUUGUGCUCUCACAGUGGCCGCAUUCUCCAGGCCACACACGAGGCAUUCCCAAAGCUCCUGCUGUCUGGCCAAGAAUAGCUGGGAUUCCUGGAGAAGGAACCAGCUCCCCAGCCUCCCUGUCUUCUGCCUCCACCCAUGCCAGCAUUUAUUUUAGCAUCUGGUUUUCCAGGCUUCUCCCACCCCUCCACACCUGCUAGUGCCUCAUAUGCACAGCACUGACCUCAGCAAGCCAGGGCGUCUAGGGCAGGCGAGAAUGGUCUGGCAAGGGUUCAGCCCUCACCUCCCCAGGGCCAUUGUUGGCCCUGCCCGUUCAUUUUCUCCUCUGCGCAGUGGGCAGAAGGGCCUUUGCCUUUGGAUACAAAUGUUUGUACCGUUCUGGGGUAGAGAGGGAAGAGGCUCCCUGCCCACACUUUUACCUCUGGCUUGAACCCCAGGAGGAUCAUCCCCACCCGGAGCCACCUGCGCCACCUCAAAGCACUGACACUUUGAUCAGAGGUUUUAUUGAAUGGUUUCAGGGAAAGAGGCAGGUUUGUCAGAGGGAUGAGGGAACCCUGAGGUUAUUUUCUCUAGGCGAUGCCUCUGCCCACUGGGCCAGAGCGGAUCUGAAAUACCCAAGAGGUGAAGGUGAGGCUGUGUGAGCGGACAGAGUCAGGUGUGCGGUGGCGCUGGUGCUGCGUGGGGGCGGGGAGCCCUCGGUGGGCGCUGUUGACAGCGGGCUCUAGGUUAUGCUGGGCUCUGCACUGGGGGCGCUAGGUGACAGAUGGGAACCAAGCACCAACAGUGGGCCUUCUUGACGGAUGGGGGCGCUCUGGGCAGCAGCUGAGAAGGGGCGGUCCUGCGGAAUGCGUCGAAGAGGGCUCCGCGCUCCAAGAGAGAAGCUCCAGGCAUUGUGGCUUCAUGCAACUAUGACCAAAGCAGGAAGAAAAGGAAUGGCAGAGACUUCUCAGAAGCUCUCCAACAGACUUCUCUUUGAAUCUCAUUGGCCAGAACUGGAGCACAAACCCAUUCCUAAACCAACUUAUGGCAAAAAGAGGGUUGUCAAGAUUGUCCUAGACCAGUUGUAAUUGGUACCUUUGAUCAAGUGGGACUCAUGGAGUAUAGUUAUAAAACAAUUUCAUUUUUGUCUCCUA